CUAAGGUUCGAUUCGAGCGCAGCGAGAAAGCGUUGCCGCAGGCAACGACCCGAAGGGCGAAGCGCGCAGCGCUGAGUCAUCCUUCCCCCACCACCA
rnacentral:sRNA from 5 species